ensembl:lncRNA
AGGAGGGCGGUCCAAAGUAUUUAUUGAACAACCAGGCAGUGGGCAGGCUCGUAGUGGUGGACAGGCAGGGUUCGUUAUCGGGCGUUCAGAUGGUCGAAGGUACAGGAGUGGGCAGGCAGGCUCGUGGUAGGGGACAGGCAGGGUUUGUUGUCGGGCGGUCAGAUGGUCGAAGGUACAGGAUAGGGCAGGCAGGCUCGUGGUGGGGGACAGGCAGUGUUCGUUCUCGGGCGUUCGGAUGGUCGAAGGUACAGGAGUGGGCAGGCAGGCUCGUGGUAGGGGACAGGCAGGGUUUGUUGUUGGGCGGUCAGAUGGUCGAAGGUACAGGAGUGGGCAGGCAGGCUCGUAAUCCGGAAAACAGGCAAGGGUCGUAACCGGGGAAUAGAAGGACGGGUAGACUGGCUGAUGAACACAUAGAACGCUGGAAACGACUGUACAGGACAAGACGAUCUGGCAACUGCCAAACAGAGAACAGGGUUUAAAUACACGGGGCUAAUAGGGAACCGGGAACACCUGGUGAGGGGCGGGGACAAAACAACAGGUGAAACACAUCAGGGUGUGACACCAUGUGAAUAAAAAAAGAUUUGCCAGAUGCAAAAUAAGCAACAACGUCAAAUUUAAUUUGUUAUUUUAAGAACCACAAGGAAAGGUAAGAAAGUAAUCUCUUUAUAUUCAGUUUCACUAAGAUCUAUAACGAUUAAGUUAC